GUGAGACUUAGCGCUCCAACCCUUGCGAACAUUACCUCAUUGCGGCGUUGCUUCGGCGGGCUUGCUGGCGGGGUGCGCCUCUGGAGUUUUCCGGGGCGCGCUUCGCCUGCAGUCCGGCCUGGCCAGCUGGGCCCCGCCGGCAGCGCCAAACUCUUCAGUUUUAUAGUGGAAAAAGUUUUCUGAGUGGCAAUAAUACAAAUAAGCA
rnacentral:misc_RNA from 1 species